rnacentral:rRNA from 1 species
CCUACGGGUGGCAGCAGUGGGGAAUAUUGGGCAAUGGGCGCAAGCCUGACCCAGCAACGCCGCGUGAAGGAAGAAGGCUUUCGGGUUGUAAACUUCUUUUCUCAGGGACGAAGAGCGUGACGGUACCUGACGAAUAAGCCACGGCUAACUACGUGCCAGCAGCCGCGGUAAUACGUAGGUGGCAAGCGUUAUCCGGAUUUAUUGGGUGUAAAGGGCGUGUAGGCGGGAGCGCAAGUCAGAUGUGAAAACUCAGGGCUCAAACCUGAGCCUGCAGUUGAAACUGGGGGUCUUGAGUGCUGGAGAGGUAAUCGGAAUUCCGGGUGUAGCGGUGAAAUGCGUAGAUAUACGGAGGAACACCAGUGGCGAAGGCGGAUUGCUGGACAGUAACUGACGCUGAGGCGCGAAAGCGUGGGGAGCAAACAGGAUUAGAUACCCGAGUAGUC